CAGGUUGGACCGUCUUUCAUAUAUCUACUGACUUCAUAUAAAUGAAAGUCUCGCUGAUCUGCACUACCAGCUCGUUCAACGUUACUGAACAACAAAGUAAUCCGACAAUCAGACUGGACCCGGUCACGUUAGAUACCAGAGGAAGACGAAAAUAUAAUUGAUUCUGUACUGAUGCAUAACUUCGCUCGGAACGCGGCAAGAAUUAACAAUGGAAGAAAAUACUACAGACUUGUUUAUUAACGAUAAAGUUAUUUUAGUUUUUAUGAAAUAGCGAUUGAAUAAAAAUAUUAGGUAUA